rnacentral:rRNA from 1 species
ACAUUAAAAGACUUGACGGUGCUUCAUCACGACCUAGAGGAGCCUGUCUAACAACCGAUAAUCCACGAUUAACCCAACCCACUCUCGCCAACAGUCUAUAUACCACCGUCGCAAGCUUACCUUAUAAAAGAAACGAAGUAAACUAAAUAGUACAGCACUAAAACGACAGGUCGAGGUGUAACCCAUGAGCGGGUUAAGAUGGGCUACAUUCUCUACCAGAGAAUACGAAUAACACUAUGAACAUGGUGAUUGAAGGAGGAUUUAGCAGUAAGAUAGGGAUAAAAUACCUAACUGAAUAUAACGCAAUGAAGUGCGUACACACCGCCCGUCACCCCUGCCUAU